rnacentral:rRNA from 1 species
GAUGAACGCUGGCGGCGUGCCUAAUACAUGCAAGUCGAGCGAACAGAUGAGGAGCUUGCUCCUCUGACGUUAGCGGCGGACGGGUGAGUAACACGUGGAUAACCUACCUAUAAGACUGGGAUAACUUCGGGAAACCGGAGCUAAUACCGGAUAAUAUAUUGAACCGCAUGGUUCAAUAGUGAAAGACGGUUUUGCUGUCACUUAUAGCUGGAUCCGCGCCGCAUUAGCUAGUUGGUAAGGUAACGGCUUACCAAGGCAACGAUGCGUAGCCGACCUGAGAGGGUGAUCGGCCACACUGGAACUGAGACACGGUCCAGACUCCUACGGGAGGCAGCAGUAGGGAAUCUUCCGCAAUGGGCGAAAGCUUGACGGAGCAACGCCGCGUGAGUGAUGAAGGUCUUCGGAUCGUAAAACUCUGUUAUUAGGGAAGAACAAAUGUGUAAGUAACUAUGCACGUCUUGACGGUACCUAAUCAGAAAGCCACGGCUAACUACGUG